rnacentral:antisense_RNA from 1 species
UUUUUGCCUCAUGCUUGGGCGACAGCUUUUGACCAA